ACGGAAGGCCCGAGCGUUAUCCGGAUUUAUUGGGUUUAAAGGGAGCGUAGGCGGGAGAUCAAGUCAGCUGUGAAACUGCGCCGCUCAACGGCGCCGAGCAGUUGAAACUGGUUUCCUUGAGUCCGCAAGAGGCGCGUGGAAUUCGUGGUGUAGCGGUGAAAUGCAUAGAUAUCACGAAGAACUCCGAUUGCGAAGGCAGCGCGCUGGGGCGUCACUGACGCUGAAGCUCGAAGGUGCGGGUAUCGAACAG
rnacentral:rRNA from 1 species